AUAUUACUCCCUCCGUUCGAAAAUACUUGUCAGCGAAAUGGAUGUAUCUAGACGUAUUUUAAUUCUAGAUACAUCCAUUUUUAUACAUUUAUGCGACAAGUAUUUCUGAACGGAGGAAGUACAAC
rnacentral:pre_miRNA from 1 species